UAUUACGAGCUUACAACGUGACCAGCUCCCAGUUGGCUUGAUAGCUCAGUUGAUAGAGCACUGCACUGUUAUCGAAUUAUUUUCACGCUUAAUUUUCACAACUGCUUAAGCUGUGUGAAUAACUGCGAUGGUCAAUCAUGACUUUAUAUCUUUCUCCGCAGUUCAAGUAUAUGAUCUUUCAUAUAUUCACUUGCAAAUGAGACUUAGGGGUAGGGUACAUAGAGAAGCUUAAAAUUGUGGAAGCUAAUUUCCAGAGCAAAAGGUUAAACCAAAACGUACCUCUGUGUUUACCCCUUUAGGACUUGAGGCAAGAUCCUUGCCUAAGAAACCUUUCCGUUACGUUUUGAGAAGCGCUUUCCCUUGUCUGUUUCUCUAGAUUUCUUCCAAAGGUUUUCCUGCAUGGAUCUUCCUUUAUUCACUGGCCUUAUGGUCUGUAGUAUUAGUCUUCUCACGACGCGAUCCAGCCGAGGUCAUUCUGGUUUCAGCACUUGACGGUAUGGAGUGGCCAUUGUUACGAGCGAUAUUCGCUCAUCACAUUCUUCCGAUGAGGAAGAUUCCGACUUUAAAAGUCAACAAUCGGUUCGUGUUAAAAGGACAUUACUAAAGGAGAUCAUCAAACAACAUGGGACAAAGCAAGAACACUUACCAAAAGAAAGUAAAAAUCCAGUGGAGCGCAGCUUUCACGGAGUGACGAAUGCUACCAGCGCAGACGCAGCGCCCAAUAAGCGAUUUACAGUGAGAACUCGCUAUGGAAACCUGCGUAUUACUGGUAAGUGAUAUUCAUGGGACUAGGAG